AGAGUUUGAUCCUGGCUCAGGAUGAACGCUGGCGGCGUGCUUAACACAUGCAAGUCGAACGGGGUAUGAUGAAAGCUUGCUUUGUCAUACUUAGUGGCGGACGGGUGAGUAACGCGUGGGUAACCUGCCUAUACCGGGGGACAACAGCUGGAAACGGCUGCUAAUACCGCAUAAGCGCACAGAUAGGCAUCUAUCAGUGUGAAAAACUCCGGUGGUAUAAGAUGGACCCGCGUCUGAUUAGCCAGUUGGCGGUGUAACGGACCACCAAAGCGACGAUCAGUAGCCGGCCUGAGAGGGCAAACGGCCACAUUGGGACUGAGACACGGCCCAAACUCCUACGGGAGGCAGCAGUGGGGAAUAUUGCACAAUGGAGGAAACUCUGAUGCAGCCGACGCCGCGUGAGUGAAGAAGUAUCUCGGUAUGUAAAGCUCUAUCAGCAGGAAAGAAAAUGACGGUACCUGACUAAGAAGCCCCGGCUAACUACGUGCCAGCAGCCGC
rnacentral:rRNA from 1 species